rnacentral:snRNA from 1 species
AUAUGUUCGGCGCUACAUAUGGGCACUAAAAUUGGAACGAUACAGAGAAGACUACCAUGGCCUCUGCGCAAGGAUGACACGCAAAGUCGUGAAGCGUUCUACAUUUUU